GCGUGUGUGGUGUAAUGGUAACAUUGGGUCUUCCCAGCUUGUUCCCUGUGGCCUAACCCCGGUUUCGAUUCCCGGCGUACGCA